AUUGAACGCUGGCGGCAGGCCUAACACAUGCAAGUCGAGCGAGCGGCGGACGGGUGAGUAAUGUAUGGGGACUGCCCGCUAGAGGGGGAGAACUACUGGAAACGGUGGCUAAUACCGCAUACUGUCGUGUAACCCCUAUGGGUUGAGCUAGUAGGUAAGGUAAUGGCUUACCUAGGCGACGAUCCCUAGCUGGUCUGAGAGGAGGAUCAGCCACAUCGGGACUGGUCCACGGCCCAGACUCCUACGGAGGCAGCAGUGGGGAACAUUGGACAAUGGGCGCAAGCCUGAUGCAGCCCUGCCGCGUGUAUGAAGAACGCCCUAGGGUUGUAAAGUACUUUCAGUCGGGAGGCGUUAGACAAAGAAGAAGCACCGGCUAACUCCGUGCCAGCAGCCGCGGUAAUAG
rnacentral:rRNA from 1 species